GACGAACGCUGGCGGCGUGCCUAAUACAUGCAAGUUGAGCGCUGAAGGUUGGUACUUGUACCAACUGGAUGAGCAGCGAACGGGUGAGUAACGCGUGGGGAAUCUGCCUUUGAGCGGGGGACAACAUUUGGAAACGAAUGCUAAUACCGCAUAAAAACUUUAAACACAAGUUUUAAGUUUGAAAGAUGCAAUUGCAUCACUCAAAGAUGAUCCCGCGUUGUAUUAGCUAGUUGGUGAGGUAAAGGCUCACCAAGGCGAUGAUACAUAGCCGACCUGAGAGGGUGAUCGGCCACAUUGGGACUUAGACACGGCCCAAGCUCCUACGGGAGGCAGCAGUAGGGAAUCUUCGGCAAUGGACGAAAGUCUGACCGGGCAACUCCGCGUGGGUGGAGAAGGUUUUCGGAUCGUAAAACUCUGUUGGUAGAGAAGAACGUUUGUGUGAGUGGAAAGCUCAUCAAGUGACGGUAACUACCCAGAAAGGGACGGCUAACUACGUG
rnacentral:rRNA from 1 species